AGGAUUAACGUUGGCGGCGUGCAUAACACAUGCAAGUUGAGCGUGGCUUUAGUUUACUAAAGUCUAGCAGCGGACGGCUGAGUAAUGCACAGGAACGUACCUUAGAGUGGGGCAUAGCCCAUCGAAAGAUGGGGUAAUACCGCAUACGCUCGCAAGAGUAAAGCCGCAAGGCGCUUUGAGAACGGCCUGUGUCCUAUCAGGUUGUUGGUGAGGUAAUGGCUCACCAAGCCUAUGACGGGUAGCUGGUCUGAGAGGAUGACCAGCCAGAUCGGGACUGAGACACGGCCCGAACUCCUACGGGAGGCAGCAGUUGGGAAUUUUGCGCAAUGGACGAAAGUCUGACGCAGCGACGCCGCGUGAAGGAUGAAGGCUCUAGGGUCGUAAACUUCUUUUGCUAGGGAGUAAUUUGUGAACGUACCUAGCGAAUAAGCACCGGCUAACUCCGUGCCAGCAGCCGC
rnacentral:rRNA from 1 species